GACGAACGCUGGCGGCGCGCUUAACACAUGCAAGUCGAACGGAAAGGCCUGCUUUCCCUUGUGGAUUGCGGGUACUCGAGUGGCGAACGGGUGAGUAACACGUGAGUGAUCUGCCCCCAACUUGGGUAUAAGCCUGGGAAACUGGGUCUAAUUCCCGAUAGGACUGCAGGGUGGUGCCUGUGGUGGAAAACGAUUUUCUAGUGGUUGGGGAUGAGCUCGCGGCCUAUCAGCUUGUUGGUGGGGUAAUGGCCUACCAAGGCGGCGACGGGUAGCCGGCCUGAGAGGGUGGACGGCCCAAUUGGGACUGGGAUACGGGCCAGACUCCUACGGGAGGCAGCAGUGGGGAAUAUUGCACAAUGGGCGGAAGCCUGAUGCAGCGACGCCGCGUGGGGGAUGACGGCCUUCGGGUUGUAAACUCCUUUCGACCGCGAGGAAGCCACCUGGUUGGAAGGGUGGUGACGGUAGUGGUAGAAGAAGCACCGGCUAACUACGUG
rnacentral:rRNA from 1 species